rnacentral:lncRNA from 1 species
UGGGCCGCAUUUGGGUUUGAUAGAGCUUCUCUUAAGAUUAAUGUUAGCUUGAUUAUUUGCUACAUUUUGGGCUUGAUCUUGAAUUUGAAUUUAAUUACUUGAUUCAUCCGGAUCUGAGCCCAAUUGAGUCCAAUUUGAUUAUAUACACCCAAUCACCCAUUAUCUGCAAAAUAGGAUAAAAAGCAUCAAAUUCUAACUAAUAUAAUUUAAAUAAUAUA